GUGAAACGUCGCGCACUGAGUGACCCCCUUUGUACGUCCUGAUACAAGAGGUGCACAGUGUCCCGAGUUGGGUCCCGGAGCUCUUUUCCAGGUUUUUGUCGGAAUCAUCUUAUUCAAGACAAAGCCCAUCGUCGGCUACCCACCAGAGUACAAGCAGACAAUAUUUCUUAAGCAGCUAGUGGUUCCUGCUAUGGUGAGGGGGAACAUGAAGAAGGCAUAUAUAAGUUGACGGUGAAAGUCUAAAGCGUACAUGCUCCAGGUUAUGUGACAUCCUGGCCAGAACCAUUGACCCUCUUGGGAUUUCUUCGUCUCCACCGAGAAAGCUAGCCAGCAUAUCAUCACUGGACAACCAGAAUCACUGCGUUCAGCGCGAGAGAUUUAAAGAAAACAACAUUUUGCAAAUAGGGAAGGGGUCUAACUGUCCUGCUGGAAAGGAAAGAGAAGAUGGAGGAAAGGGG
ensembl:lncRNA